GGGAGCAAAGUGCCGCACGUGUGCGGUUUGGAGAGUACCCGGAGAAAAAGCAUCGGCUAACUCCGUGCCAGCAGCCGCGGUAAUACGGAGGAUGCGAGCGUUAUCCGGAUUUAUUGGGUUUAAAGGGUGCGUAGGCGGACGCUUAAGUCAGCGGUAAAAUUGCGGGGCUCAACCUCGUCGAGCCGUUGAAACUGGGUGCCUUGAGUGGGCGAGAAGUACGCGGAAUGCGUGGUGUAGCGGUGAAAUGCAUAGAUAUCACGCAGAACUCCGAUUGCGAAGGCAGCGUACCGGCGCCCAACUGACGCUGAAGCACGAAGGCGUGGGUAUCGAACAGGAUUAGAUACCCUGGUAGUCCACGCAGUAAACGAUGAAUGCUAGUUGUCCGGGGCGAUUGAGUUCUGG
rnacentral:rRNA from 1 species